ensembl:lncRNA
GCAGCUCAAAAUAAUCCGAAUGGAUUUCGAAUAGAAACAUGACAAAAAAAAAAUGCAGAUGAACAGCUCCGAGGGCGGAGAGAGAGAGAGAGAGAGAGAGAGAGAAUAAAGAGGACAGAAGCGUCAGGAUUAGAUAACUAUUCCACACCUGGACCUCCUGGUAGCUCAUCUCUCUCCUCUCCACUCGACUCUGAGACACUUAAUGAGAGAUUCAUGUGUUUUUGUAGUGGAAAGGAAAUGGCCGUCAGCUGGAUCUGCUGGAGCAGAAUGUGAUGCAGCGUUACAGACCGGAGAGCCAACGCUCUGAUUCUCCAUCAGCACUUUUAGUUCCGCAUUAUUUAUAACCCCAGAGACACAAAGCUUCUUCAGCAGC